UACGUAGGGGGCUAGCGUUGUCCGGAAUCAUUGGGCGUAAAGCGCGUGUAGGCGGUCCGGUAAGUCCGCUGUGAAAGUCGAGGGCUCAACCCUCGAAUGCCGGUGGAUACUGUCGGGCUAGAGUACGGAAGAGGCGAGUGGAAUUCCCGGUGUAGCGGUGAAAUGCGCAGAUAUCGGGAGGAACGCCAAUGGCGAAGGCAGCUCGCUGGGACGGUACUGACGCUGAGGCGCGAAAGCGUGGGGAGCAAACAGG
rnacentral:rRNA from 1 species